UUCCGCAUCGGCUUCAUUGGCUUCACCGCUUGUUCCAAAUCCGUUAACACGUCAUACUACAUGUUAUGAUGUGAUAAAUCACAGUGUCAAUGUUUUAUGACAAACGUUCCUAUCAAAGUAUGAAUGAACCAGUCGUCAUGGUAGCAACGAUUCCAUUUUAAAGGAAGAUGCCACCAAAAUCCUUUUUUCAACCUACUCUAUAUCUUAGGAAAGAAAUCAUGCAUAUUCACAGGCACAAACACACACACACACACACACACACACACACACACACACACACACACACACACACACAUCAGAGAGCCAGGCUGAUUGGAUGGUGGAUGGCUGGAGUUGUUAUUACAGAGCAUCCAGCAGAGUCUGGUUUGCAGGAUAAGGAUGUCCUUACAGGGCAUUUCUCAGUAUGAACGAUGAGGAAACAGCCCCCUGUGUGUGUGUUCGUAAGUGUGUGUGAGAGCGAGAGAGUGAUAGAGAGAGACUGAGCCAGAGCCAGAGAGAAAGUUUGAAAGAGAGGAAUAGACAGACUGUGGACAGAUGCAUCUGUCUGCCUACAUAUUUUGGCCCACAAACAGAAAUCCUGGCAAUGCUUGCAAAAAGUGACUUUCCCCAUUGGACUAUUCGGUGCCAAAGGCUCGCCUGCAGAGAAAGAGACCGGAGAAUAAGAGAGGAACUCACAAGGCUUUACAUUCUGUU